CACAUUACACCACUCACUAGGUAUGUGGUCCAGGGCAAGUUAGCUGUUUUCAGGUCUAGUUUCCUAUUCUAUAAAUGAGGAUAGCAUCUUACUAUAUG